UACGGAGGGUGCGAGCGUUGUCCGGAAUCACUGGGCGUAAAGGGCGCGUAGGCGGCCGCGUAAGUCACUUGUGAAAUCCCGGGGCUCAACUCCGGGGCUGCAGGUGAGACUGCGUGGCUAGAGCACGGUAGAGGCGAGUGGAAUUCCCGGUGUAGCGGUGGAAUGCGUAGAUAUCGGGAAGAACACCGGUGGCGAAGGCGGCGACCUGGUCCGAUACUGACGCUGAGGCGCGAAAGCGUGGGGAGCAAACAGG
rnacentral:rRNA from 1 species